UGUGUUUAUGAGGUCGGUUGGAUCUGGAUCCCCUAGCGGGCCGAGGCAUUGGAGGUGUGGUUGAUCGGUGGGGAUGACAAUUUUAUUAGCCGAUUCCUAAUGGUUUUGGAAGUAGAAAAUAAAAACACAAAGAAAAAGAAAGAAAAAUGUUCAGUGAGAUGGAUUGCGGAUGAACAGGGGUGAGAGGAAAAGUACAAGAGAUGGCGCG
rnacentral:lncRNA from 1 species